UCUCCCGAUCCCCUCGCUCCUUGCCUCUUUCCUCCUCGCGCCGCCACCCACAGAGGGAAGCGUUCACGCUCUCGCUUGACCAACUUUCAUGCUCGCCUUGCCGUGCCGCCCGGCCGUGCUGCCCCGCAGCUCCUCCCGCCGUCCUCGCACCGCCACCUAGAUCUCCGCGCCCGGCCGUGGGCGGCGCUCACCGGCGCGCGUGGGCUCACCUGAGCCGCCCGUCCACCGCCUCGUCACCGGCGGCCCCCGCCUAGUCGGCCACCGAAGCAAGCCGGCCAACACCACCGGCUCCUUCUACGCGACGCCCGUACCCUCCUCCGCCGGCAGGCCCGCACCCAUGUCGAGCGGGGGAGCUCGCGCCAGAGCCUUCCUCCCCAAGGCCAUGGCGUCCACUGUGGAUGCACCAUCUCCGUCGCGCCCUCCUUCUACUCACCAUCGCUACAUUGGAGCCCAGGAGCCAGACGCCACCGACGACGAAUCCUACUAGAUUGGAGGUCCCUACUACUACGUGCAGGCUGCCAAUGACGACCGGAAGUAGUUUAGAAGGAUCCCAGACAAGAGGCCUACGCCUCUUUCGAUCUGUAUCCCAGUUUGUACUAGCCAUCUUAUGGCAACUUGUUUAACUUAUGUCCGUACUCAGAUAUUGUUGCUUCCGCUGACUCGUCUAUGAUCGAGCACUUGUAUUUGAGCCCUCAAGGCCCUCGGCUUGUAUUAUGAUGCUUGUAUGACUUAUUUAUUUUUAGAGUUGUGUUGCACUGGU